AGCGGUAGAGCUCAGUGGUAGAGUGCGGGCUUAGCAUGCAGGAGGACCUGGGUUCAAUCCCCAGUACCUCCA
rfam:Camelus ferus unplaced genomic scaffold scaffold1118, whole genome shotgun sequence.